AGGAAAGGAAGCAUUAAGGGAAGUGUCAUGUUACUCUUAUAUAGAAGAUGUUAACUCAAUAAUGGAAAAUCAGCAAGCUAGAAGAUGUUAACUCAAUAAUGGAAAAUCAGCAAGCAACUCGGGGUGCUGUGCCUCAAGCUUCAUUAAUGGGGCCAAAAGUAGAAAGUCUGCACCUAACUAACAAUAUAGAAAGAGGUGAUUUGGAGUUGAAAAGCAACAAGGCAUAUACUCACUCAAUUAAGUACUUAGUGCACCCAUCCCAUAAUCUAUACAGUAUGAUUUCGUUCCGGAUAUCCGAACUACCUUAACGGAGACCCGAGCCUAACACCUUCAUUAUUGCCUUCUGCAACAACAUAAAUGGCGCGGUCUACUUCAUAAGCCCGAGAAGGAUCCGUUCAAUACAAUAGUCAGAGCGCAAAGUGUACCAAAGAAUCAGCAAUUUCCGUUCUCGUCGACUCUCAAUCUGGAUCCGGGUUUACAUACAGCCUUUCAAGAGUGGUGUAUGGUAAGACCUCUGGCUUUCUUUCACUGUUGCAUGAUCCUGUAGACUGUCUCCGCGUCUUUGAUGGCCCUGCCCUUUUCGUGAAAAUAUGAAAGGGGUGAGUAAAGUAAGCAGUCAGCUGUUAGAGUUAGGCUAGGUAGAGCAGAGCCAGCAGUUACAGUUAUAGGUAGAGCAGCAUCAGAGGAGCGCCCCUGUUCCUUGAGACUUCCCUCAGACAGGAGUACCGAACAAGCAACUACGAAGGGAUUGAUUAGUUCCACUAAGGGUGCCUCCAUCUCAUCUAACUCUUUCUCAUAGAACUCUGGCUGCUGAACUCACUACUACAGUUACUUGCCUCUCCUUGCCUUUCUUUAUAGUAGUCUUUCUUUUGAGUAGUUUCAUUGCCUAUUUCCACGCCACGCCCCUCAUAUGUGAAUUAUACUUCUAAGGAAACUCAGUAAGGCAAUUCAGUUAUAAGUAAUUAUUAGAAGCUAUAAGUAAGGCAAUAAAGGUAUCCAAUCCGCCUCUACUUGAUUGAUUUCUUGCCAUGUAGAUAAGUCUAUAACUAGUCACUUUAUCCCCUUACUUGUCUAUAACUAGUCACUUUAUCCCCUUACUAUAAGUCAUUAUAUAAGAGAGUUUCAGUAGAUAUGGAAGCAGUUAGGUCAGAAGGAGAGGCCAGGCCAAUAGUGGAUGACACCGAUUGCAUUGCCAGGGUGAGCAGAACACUACACUUGUUCAUAACGAAGUAACAAACAGGGGAUGGGAUGGGUUCACUCAAAGGGUUCUUUAUUACUACAAUUGUUGCUUGGCCCCUUAACAUCAAGUAAGCCUUUCACUCUAGGUAGUAGGAAUCUCUUGGGGGGCGAGUAACGUCUAGGAGUAAACGAUGAGUUCUUUCCUCUUUACCUAAACUCCGAUACAUCUAGUUUCACCGAAGAGUUGUUGCAAGAAGAAUCAUCUAGUCUAGUUAAACUGUUUCUCGGGGGCUCUAUUAAGUAUAUAGUAGAAUAGUCCAAUUAAGUAUAUAGUAGAAUAGUAAGAAGCAGACAAGUAACUACUAAACAAGCCAAGCUUAGUAUACUGUUGCGCGUUAGUCUAGUGGUGUUCAUGGCGUUAGUAUGAGUUCCUUAUUUCAGCUAACGCUUACUUUCCGCUUUCCUGGGUAGGUGCCUGUGCCUCAAUCCAAUUCCGGUUCUUUCAGAGAUAGAGUGCUUCUUUUUCUUUCGCCGUAGUUACUUGUAUGUCCGCUUGUUGGCUUGGCUCUGAGCAUUCCGCUUCUGUUCCAACCCCUUUUCCUUACUAUACAACUGAUAUGGCUUCCUCACCUGCAUCUAAUCCUACUGUUGAUCUUAAUCCAGCUUUUUUCAAGCAUAUGAUCCUUCUUCCCUUACUGGUUCAUAAGAUCUUCUUGCAGUCUUUUCAUUUCUGGAAUCUAUCGCAGUCAACUCGUAUACUUCUUACUGCCCGUAGGUAUAGCCGGUAUAGAAUUAAGUAGAUAACACUUAACGCCAAGUUACAGGAGUAGUGAGUAAAUCCCCUUUCUUGUAUUUCUGCCCACUGCAGCAUUCAUGUGUUAGGGUCCACCUUUUCCAUAAGCUUCCUCUAACCCACUACUUUCUGAUUCCUCGACUUCCACUUAGGCUCUGUGAACUCAGGCAACUAGAACAAUGGCUACAAUAUCUCUCCUCCGGCUCCACAAACACAUAGCAAGUAGUGAGUGACUUGUCCAUUAGUCGUAGAUUUUCUCUCUUUCCCUUCCUUACUCUCCCUUUGCAGCUUACUUUCGCCCGAGAGACUCUCUUCUUUGAAUGGAAUCUUUCGUUUCUUUUACACUUGGUAUAGAACCCAUGUAAAGAUACUGAACUAGUUUCGUUUUCGCGAUAGUGAGUUUCAAGUCCUGUUUGAAAGUCAACGAUAUCAGAUCUGUUUUCUCAUGCUACAGGCGCAAGAAAUAUGAUAAGUUGGUCAGCUGUCCUAAGUGAUAGAGUAGAAUCCCUAGUGAAACCCUUACGUCUACUCUUAUUGCCAGCUUUCCAGUACUUUAUCGAGUGGCUUCUUCGGGAGCUCACACUGCCGAAGAUCUUUCUUUAGAUCCCAAUCCAGCUUCAGCUUCAGAUAUCAUAGACUAUAAAGGUAAAGCGCCAACAACAAGAACGGAUUCCACUGAUUGUCUUGCCCAAACUCCUGCCGCUUCAACUGUGUUCGUUGAUUCUGACUUUCAUUAUAGAUAUAGAGUUGUAAAGAACCAGGUUCACCCGUAUGGAGCAGAGCCUCUUUGUCUAGUCCCACUUAGAGCGACAGCUGCAGUCGUAAGAAAGCAACAAGGAGCUUUACUACCUUUUCAAUUGUAGGUGGGAGGUCUUUUAAAGACGGUUAAAGAGAGUUCUUGUUCACGUAAGUGAGAGCACUGCCCGAUACUGCUUGCUCGGUCCUCUAACUAAAUCAAUGGUAUAUAAAUAGAUGCGCGGAACUUACUAAAUUCCCUUAGAGUCUGGUCUUCACUAGAUAGUGGCAACCCUCGUUCCUUUGUCCAAAGUCAAGAUAGGGAUCGUCACUAGGCUCCUUUGCAGAAUUCAGGCCUAGCCAUUAACAGAGAAGCUAUGGGAACAAUGGAAUCCGUGACUGUAAAACACAGGAAUUGUUAGAACGGCCAAGAACUACUAAACGCCAGACAAGCACCCCUUUACUUUAAUGCACAGCUCAUUCUGCACUUUUAGUAGAGUAUCCUUUCCUCACACUCGAACGUAACUUGCAGGCCCUAUACUAGAAUUUCCUAGACUCAACUCUCACUCGAAUAGGAACAGUAACAGUAGUCGGAGUGGGAUUAGCUACACUGCCGCGCACGAACAACUAUUCGGAGCUUACACUUUUUCCGUCAUGGCGGUUGCGAGCGGAAGAGGUUGGUUAAGAGCCCUUGGUUAGCUGGACUGGAUUAGUUACCCUUAUAGAAGAAGGUAGAUAAUCAUUAGCGGUAUCUUCUCUGUCAAACUUCAGAAUUGAGUAGUCUCAUUAGCUGUAGUAGUAUAAUUAUAGGUUGUCGUUUAAUUAGCAGUUUUCGUUUCAUUUCAUUAAGUAUUCCGUUUUCCACCUUAGAACUAGUAAUUGCCUGUUUCUCUGCAGAGUAGCAAUAAGUAAACUCAUACGUAUUGAAUUGUCCCCCUCUCCUACCCGGGAUAACUAGUAGCUUGCUCGAUUCUCUCAUUUCACGCUUUCAUUCCCUUAUUACUGACUAAGUGCGAUCCUCUUUCUUGUUUUAGGUACGAGGCCUUUGUAGCACUAGUGGAUUUCUUAUCAAUGGAAGGAACGAUACAGAGAAGAAAACCCAGGAAGGACGUACUUAGUUACAGGAAAGGCGGGCUUAUCAAGCAUAGUCUCAAUGCUACUAGUUAGUAGUUACAUUCUGUAGUAAGUAAUUAGAUUCUUGUUCGCAGUGGUGCAAUUACAGUUGUUGCCCCAAAGUAUCAGUCUCAUAGGUUGUAGUCGCAUCCUUAUCCUUGUUGUUAGUAGUUGUAGUCUUAAGUAGCUAUAUAAGAAGCGGGCAAUUGAAACAGAGACCCCAGCUACAGAGCAUCAAUCUGAGUACCAAUACCCAGCAUCAGCCUUACUAGCUACCCCAUCAACCAAUACUAGCUACCACCGGUUUCAUUCUCAAACUACUGAGGGAAAUUCUGUAAUAAAAGUGUCUAGCGCCCCACCCAAGGGUUGGAGUCUUAGAGUUAGUAGCUGCAUUCUAAGUGGUACUGAUUUGGUUCUUGGAUUCAUUGGUAUCAGUCUCAGUGGUACUUGCUUGGCCCUGUCACUUAUGGGUUGAAGCCUGCUCGGGGUUAGUUGCAUUCUGAGUACUAUAUGAGGAGUUCAGGUCAUAGGUCUAAUUCUUAUCUUAGUCAUACCGGAUUUAUGGUCAUAGAUAGGGAAUAGGGAAGAUGCGGCUUUCUGGUCAUAGGUCUAAUUCUUAUCUUAGUCAUACCGGACUUCUGGUCAUAGGCAUUUAAUAGGUCAUAUGCGGCUUUCUGGUCAUAUCCCUUACUCAGUCUAUCAAUCGGCUUUCUGGUCAUAGGUGUUAAUAUAGGUAUACCUCGGCUUUCAAGUCAUAGGGAAGGUAGGACUUCUGGUCAUAGGUCUAAUUCUCUGACUCACUUGUUUCAGGCUUACACUCGCUUGUUUCAAUCUAAGUAGCCCCAGCACCAGCCUUAGAUGCACAGGUGAAAGUCCCAGUGGUACAGGUUUCAGCCUAUCACUCCUUAGCCUCAUUCUCGGUGGUAUUGGUUGAAGCCUCUAACUGCCCAACAUCAGCCUUGGUAGCAGUGAGGGGAGCCUUACACCGACUAGCUCCACUCUCAUACUGACUGGUUGAAGCCUGUUUCUCACUUGUUUCGGUCCGGUAGUUAGGUGUUUCAGGCUUGUUGUGCACUCUUUCAUUCUAGCUACCCUUGCUUUAAGUCUGGGCUUCCGAGACCCUGUAUCAGGCUUUGACUCACUAGUUUCGUUCUUGGACUUAUGGGUUUGAGUCUGAGUCUAUUUAGUUGGAUUCUGUAACCCUAGGAGUCGUUGCUUGGCCCUCUUGCUUAGCUCUCCAGGUAGCGAAGGCAGUUACUGAUUCCAGUUUCUCGUAAGGGCAGGCUCAUGGCGAUAGGUUAUUCUAGUUGGAGUCUAUAUAAGCUCUAGGUCUAAGUAUACUGAAUGAGUCUGGUAAAGUUCCUGUGGCUAGCGGGGAAGCAGUUUACUAUAUUAAUAAGGUCUAGUGUAAAACAAUACUCUAUUAAUAAGGUCUAGUGGAAAACAAGGUGAAAGUAGAUUCCGUAAAAGCUAACAACCAUUUGAAAGCCCGGCCAAGCGGGCAAGCAACUCACUGUUACCUUGCAUUCAAUAGCUGCUCCUUCUGUCCUCACUGUGUCCCUUUAACGUGCACGUGGAUAUCUAUAACUAUGGAUCGGACUGGAAGCUGGCUUAAUUCCUAUCGCAAGAGCGAGUCAGGAUCCAAGGCAAGGUGACGAAGGUAAUAGGGAAAGUGCGUCGACCGCGCCAUCUAGCGAGAUCAAAGGACUUAUCUUCUUUUUUCCCAUGGUCAACAAUCGGCUUCACUCGUUGAUUGCCACAGAUAAGCUUGGACUAUGCAUAUGGAAAACCUGAUGACAUAGAGACGUGGAAUACCUUCCAAAUCCAAGACAAGAGCCUUACUUCCUUUAGUUCAAACAAGGGAUGCAAGCAAAGCAAGGUGCUAAGAGCUCCCUCGCACUCGAUAAGAAGAAUGGUAUAUAGCCUUUCCAACCAAUUACCGUGUGUUGUGACAUCAAUACCAUAAGCCCUUAUUUUUGGUUCAGAAGUUCCUUUACAUACUAGGAAUCGCGUCUCUAAAGUUAGAUGAGAAGGAUUAGAUAUUUGGCAUUGCCUUCCCUUACUUACUAAUGGUAAAUCAAUCAGUCAAACCUUUUCUUAUUCACGUAGCGCGCCUUUCUAGUUGCCUAUUCUUUGUGCGUGGGUGGGGAUAUCUUCUACUAUUGAUUAACUUGCCCUCUCGUAAAUAAGGGGGAAGGAAACUAGCCAUACUGCCGAAAAGAAGUCCCUCCCGAACAGCCGGAUUCGGAUUAGUUCAAAUCUAACUAGCUAGAUUCUCUUGCUCUAGGCCUAUUCUUUGACUUUUCCUAUUCCCUGCUCUACUUAAUGUGCGAGGAGGAAUAGAGAUCGACAAGCAAGAGUAAGGCCUCUUUCUUUCCUUAUUAGCUAAUAGUGCCUAACUUUCCUUCGGGCAUCUUUAUCAGACAAGAAAUAAGAUCAAAUAGAAUCCGAUUUUGGACAUUAAAGAGUCGUAAAGCAUCGAAGCAAAUAGCUCUUAAAAGGAUACCUAUCGAAUAGGCUUUGGCACGUCGAGGAAGAGAAUAAGCUCUUUGAUACUGCGCUAGCAGAGUAAAGGGACGGAUAGACAGCUUACUUAACCUUGAUGAAAUGAGUCGAGGGGGCUGACUCAAGCUAGUGAAAAAUGCCUCUUACGAAAGCCUUCUUUCUAUGCCUGUGCCCCAAAAUUGGGCUAGGUAAGAAAAAGGGUAAACACUAGUAGCUGCGAGCCUAAGAUCAAAGCAAGUUCCAUCGUGCCGAUUACCUUGGCUUCUGUAUCAUGAUACAUAGAAGAAGCACUCUUGACUCUUGUCGCGAGUCGACCGUUCAGAGCUUAGAACAAAAGAAAGAAGAUAACCCUUCUGUCGGCUUAUUCAAACCGAUUAUUGGAAAUAAGAGCAACCCACUAAAAUCAGGUAUUCUUUAGAUAAUAUAAUGAACUAUUCCCUUAUUAACUUGCUAACUACCUAUAACGCGAAUAUAAGGAAGUCAGCUGCUUCGAUUCCCUCUCUUGCAAGUGUUCCAGUCCUAAACAUAUACAUAAUAGCUAAUUAUUUCCUACAGUUAAAGAUUCUAACAACCUGCUAUAGACUGUUUUGAUCUUAUAAAGAACGGAGCGGAGAGGAAAGAGAGAGAGAUCGCUAUUAUUCACUGGUUAUAGCUUUACCUACGGAAAGUUGAGCUACGAAGAUCCGCUGGUCGUAGAAGAGGAAACCCUCCAAAGUGAGGCCGAGGACGACAACUAAAAGGACCUGCCAUUGAAAGCAAUUGAAAGCUGCUGCAAGCUAAAGCAACUCCCACUUCUUCAUAGUCCAUUCUACCCGUAUGGAUCUGGAUCGGUAUCAAUUCCAAAGGAUGUCCUAACUUGUCGCUGCCAGUAAUUUCAUAAUGUAAGUGCGCCUAUACGUAAGCCGGAUCCCAGGCUCCAGGGCCCAUCUCUGUCAUAUUGGCAAGCCAAAGAAGAUAGAAAGCCUGCUUCACCUUUACUUCCUUCCGUACCGGAUUCAGAGUCUGCUCUAAAAGAAGCCAGUGAGUCGAUGUCUUAUGGAGUUCAAUCAGUAUCGGGUCAUUCAAAGGUUUCAGCUCUGGUUCCAAUUGUAUCUGUGGUAUAUCUCUUCUCUCUUGUUCCCUUUCCGGGGAUAAGAGAUCCUGUUCUUUCCCUUUCCUUGCUACUAUCCGAACUUUACUACUAGUUUCAGAAGAUAGUCAACCAGUUUUUCAGGCAAGGAGCGCUUCCUCUAUAGAAUAUGGCAGAUGUCCGAACGGAUUUCCCCAAUAGCGGAGCAGCUAAAGGAAGUGCAUUCAUUCUUUUCCAAGUGUGGGGCAGGAGUAGGUUUCAUCAAUCUGAAUAGACAUAGAAUUCCCAAUAUGGUCUUUGGCUGUUUUAUCAUCUCUAGAAUCAGCAGUUCUCGAAUAAGCUGUGGGACAAAGCAAAUGCCUUUUUGUUCACAGCAGACUUAGCAGACGAUUAUCGGCAGUAUGGUCAGGCUUUGAUUACAGGAUUUCCGGAUUGACCGCUUCUUCCCUUCCAGUUGAUUGGGAAUAAAGGCUGCUUGGAUCUUUGCACGAAUAAACGGAGAGUCAAAGGAACUCGCCCCUGUGUGAUAGAAUUGUUUUAAGGAAUGGAAUCAGAAGCAUUGAAUGCGGCUAGGCUAGGGCACCUUAUUUGAUGAAUAAAGGUAGGGUAGUUCAGUUGUCAACAAGGGAAUAGGUAUGCGGUACAAUAAGUAAGGCUCGGGCUUCUGCUUUUUCUUCUUAUUAAUAGGUGUGUAGGAUUCCCUUUUUCUUGUUUGAAUUCCCAGUUGUUAGUUUAAGUAUUGGUAGCAGUUAUAUAGGCUUGUUAUCAUUAUGAAUCUGAUACUACUAAGUGAAACCCGUGUAACGAGGUGAGGUGGUCUUUCUAGUGUUUAUUUCGUCCCUUACGCCUUAGUCCGAUUCUUUGACUAAAAAGUAGACUUCUUGGCAGGGAUGUACUAACCUUAGAGUUGAUAUACGCAUAUACCUGCAGUUCGAAUACUUAUCUUAUGAAAUUCCCCUGAGUUAGCUUAUGAACCACACCUCCACUUCAAUAACAAUAACACAUAGAAUCAAGAAUGAACUCAACGUUCAAGUAGUCGAAGUCACUAACAAACAAGCAAGACUAAAACAAGUAAAGGCAGGCUCAUAUCAUAGGCAGUAAAGCCAGGGUUGGUAUAGUUUGGUAGUUCGGAGGAGCAGACUAAUGGUAAUAGGCAAUAAGGCUGGGGGAACUAAGGAGUAGAGUUUGGAAAGUGAAGACAGGGUUUAGAGCAAGUAGUUUCAGAGUCAAAGGAAGGAAAGACAGACUUAGAAUUGAUUCGGGGAUUCCAUUUAUCGCUUAUAUUAUGAGAAUGAGAAUUAGGUUAGGCGCGUACUUUAACUAACCAAAGGCAGUGUUAAAACAUGUACAGUAAGGGCUGUUUAGGUGCCAGUAAAGUCAGAAUAAGAUGAGUAACUACCAGAUUUAGGACGAGGGGACAGUCAAGCAGGAAUACAAGAAAGUAAUGUAAGGCUAUUAGACACCAUUGAGUUUGAAAGCAAAGGUAGUUAGGGCUUAUAGCUAUAAGUUAUAUUCUAUCAGGUAGUGGUUGAUUCCCAGUUCAUGAGGUAAGUCUCGUAUUAGCGGUGAUUUCAUUCUCGUAGGUAGCAUCCCACUUUUGAGGUUUCUUCUCUUUAUUGAGUAUUGAUAUCAUUAAUAGGGUAGCUCAAUGUAAUCGACCCUUGUUUCCCUUUUCAAUCCUGCUCGGCAGUAGUCAAUUCCUCGUUAUGAGGUUGGUUGCCAGUUAGCCGCUAUAGUCUUAUCGGUACAGGUUCAAUUACUUAUUCUGGGUUGGGUUUAUUGGAAGCACUAGUUCAUUUAUUCGAUAUAGUAGUAUAAUUCCCAUAUAGGUGGGGACCGGUCUAAUCUAAUGGGGUAGUUCUAGUGCUUGAGAGCAAGGAAAGUCGGACUAAGGUCUCCAAAGGCAAGAGCAAGGCUUGAACAUAGGCAUAGAUAAUAAGGCUUGGCUACUACCUGCUGGCUUAGCACCUAUAGGCAUUGAGCUCAGUGAUAUAGGUUUUCGAAAAAAGUAACCGGUUGAAAGCAAGCAAUAGGAAACUAGUAGUGACUUGCCUGCUUGGCGAAUCAAACUCAUAAGCAAAAGAAGAAAAUAGGACCCCAGUUGAUAAGAAUUCCAUUCAUAAGUAGCCGACCCGGGCCCAGCAGUAAAAGAAAUUCACACCAGCAGCCAAGGCUUUCAGCACCUUACUUGAAAACUUCUACUCUUUUCUGUUAGUCUUAUUUUACUGCCUUAUAGGUUAUAACUUGUAGCGCAUUCUAGUACGCUUAUCGGGAGUAGCCCCGGUAAGUCCAUGUAGUAACUAUUAGAAUCAAAACCAGAGAUGUGGAAUCAAAUAAGUAAGUCAAAGGCAGGUAAGGAUACCCGAGCUAUGUACUCCCUGGAAUGUAGAGUAGUGGUAUGACACUUAAAGGAAUGCGAACUCAAAAGUGAUAUUUGCACUAAGAGGGGGCAACUCAUAGGCUUGCUCAGAAGACUCAGAAGGGAGGUGAUAUGAUCUAGGGCCCAUCAUAAUAGACUAACAGGGCAGUACACAACAAUGAAACCACUUACUUAUAGAUAGAAUCGAACCUUCCCCAGGCCCACAAGAGGCAAACCCUUACCCGGACCAUACAAUAAUGAAAGUGACAAAGUAGGGAUCCAACCACUGCUAGCAAUAAUGCAACUAGUAAUAUCAGAGGCUUCAGCAAUAACCACACAGUAAUAAAGGUCUGGCACUACUUACCUCAAUUCUGUAAUUAACCCUAGCGCAUCUAGUAUAAUAGGGUAUCUGGCCUUUGAUUCUUUAAUGACGAGCUCUAGUUCUAAGAAGACCCUCUGUUUAUGCGUGUGUAAGUUAGUGGACUGCGCGUCUAAUCCAACGCCAAUUAUGAGUAUCAGAGCCAAAUCCAGUAGAAGUCGUCUUAGCCCUAAGGUCCUAUUCCUUAUUGACUUUCUUGCUUGUUAUUCUUUGAUUGGUGUUAUUCAGCAGUUCCAUUCUUUCCAUAGUGGGCGGAUUCCCAGCUAGCGGUUAAGUUUUCUCGGUAGUAUUGAGAUUAACUUGGCAUUGCAUAAGUCUUUAUUCCGUGCUCAACCCUUAUUAGCAGUAGGGCUGUUCUAAUAUAUCUUGCUUUACCUAUAAAGAGAUUAGUGCCAAAUUCACUAUAUACCAUAACUUACUUAGUCAUAUUUAGGUGAAGUAGUACCAGGUUGAGAUGAAGGAUAGUAGGAAUCAUAUUCAGUAGAAGGAUCCGUAUCAGUGUAGAGUAGUUAAGUGAGGAAUGCGGGCGUUGGGGAAUACAUAUUUGAGAUCAGUAGCCUAAGAGUGAAAGCUAGGAAGGACAGCUUCGGUUUCAGUAGUAACAGAGUGAGUGUCGAGGUUCCAGUAUUGUUGGCAUUGUUUUGAUCUAUGUUGCAGUAGCGCAUUCCUAGUUAGUGGGGUAAGUCCUAUUUCUUUAGUGGAUUCUUUCCAGUAAGUAGUUCGAAGCCGAUACUCACUACUCAUAUUCUGGAUUUCAGGAUUGAUUCUUGUAGCUUAUUCUGAUCCCCAGCUAUGAGUUAUAGCCUCGUUAGACAGUUAAUUAAAGAAUACAGGCCUUGUUGGCAGCAAAGAGCAAUACUUAUGACUUAGGAAGUAGGAGUGGGGGGAGGUUGUCAAUAAAGUCAUACUCCAAAUUAGGAUAGUAGGAAUCAUAGCCGGUAAGGUAGUAAAUAGAAUAGCAUAGGGCAUUGUAUGAUCCUGCACAUAUAGUAUAAGAAUGGAGUUGCCAUCAGUAUUAGUAUCAGCGGCACCAGUAUCAGAAGAAAACUCAGCAGUAACAGACCUAAGCCUUAUUAUGCUUGUCCAUUUUCAAGCCUUGCUCUCUGUAGCUCCCAACUAUGACUCUUACGAUCCCACCCUAGUGUCUUUAUUUACCUUAUCUUGGCCUGCGACUCCCGACCUCACAUCUGUAUUCGAGGGCCACUUACUUAUUGAAUUCUUAUGGUUGAGUCCCCAGUUUCUUAGGUUGGGUCUUUUGAUGGAACUACCUAUCCUUAGCACUAUACUUGGAAUUCUGUAUUUCCACUCUUAUUCCUCUACCGAUGGGUUUGAUCGCCUAUAUGCACUAUUGCGUUAAGGUAUAUGCUGCAGUAUUCUUGACUAUGGGUUAGAUUCUAAUAAUAGUUGUUUCAUACCGAAGUAAGGAAAGGCAGACUUCAAGUAGGGGGUGACACUACAGAACUCAACUCAACACUAGAGAAUGAACUAGUCACUGACAAGACCAACUAUGUGUUAUGCGGUAGUGGGUUCUUCAGUCAUAAUCAAGCGACUCCUAAGGAUCGGAACUUCUACUUUCACUGGUGCUUAUAGGGUUUCAACUCAACGCUGGGAAUUUCACUAGUGGCAAAUAGGCUUACUGCCUCUGUCACUAAUGCUACCGAGACUGAAAUCACUACCUGAAAGAUCUGGACUGGGAACUCAGGAUCCAACUAAUGAUCUGGAUCUUUGCUUCUUAGAUCGAAACAACUUACUUGCUUUCUGGAUUUUACCAGUUAGCAUUUCCUUCCUUGAAAACUGGAUUGAACCUAGUAGGGCCCGCGCCUCUCUGACUUUUCUUCUUUAAGUAAUGGAAUGGAACUUUGCUCUACUGACUUCCAAUCUGAUAUCCUUGCCUUUAGUCUCUAGUCACCGAUCCCCGGAUCUUUGCGUUACUACAUAUCAGUAUUACUUCACUUUAUCUAAAACUAGCAUCCCUUUCUUUUGGCCUUGCUUUAUAUAUCUUAAUUAGAAGAAACCUAGAAAUACAUAAGUAUGGCCCUAAUACAUAAUUCCAGCGCACCUACAAAUAGGAAUUUCACUAAAAAGUCAGAAAUCCAUUAUUGCUAACAAGAACUUAACUCAGAACUAAUACUUUCACUACUGUUUCCGAGCCUACUAUUCCUGUCUUUCUAUUAUUCUUGCCUUACUUGUUUGAAAACUAAAACAACCGGUUAUCGCUCUUGGGCUACAGGCUUUUCUUCUUACUUUUGAGCUCGGGCCUGUCUCUCCUUCCUAUAAGGUUGUAACUACUGAGUCGGAUCCUUCCCUGGUUGACCACAAUACUCACUAGCAGAUUAAACACACUAGAUCUAUGAUACUUUACACCGAUGUGAAGCUGGAACGAUACUGAUGCGCAUGGGAUAGGACCAAGGCCUGUGUAAGAAGCGGCUACUGCCCAGGAUAGUGAGAAUAAAAGACUAACCGACUAGACAGCAGCUCUUUGAGUCAGAAGAAAAACUCACCCGCUUUUUCAUUCAUUUCCCCAAACAGUCAUUAUUAUCCUAGAGGGAAAGUGAGCAUUGUCCUAGAAUUUACCUAAAGGAAGAUGCUUCCCCCUUGAUUCUGGAAUACGCUUCCAUUUUGUAAACCUUUGUUCAAAAGAAAGGAGCGGUAUAGACGAACUAAAAAGCAAGAAAGGCAGUGGAAGAGUUAGACGGCAGCGUUAUGGUCUGUGUUUGCCCGCAGCUCUAUUCUCUUAUUAGUAUUGAUUUGAUUGUACUGUACUCGUAUGUGUUUGACUACUUUUCUUCUUAGUUACGAGUUUCAGUCCUGUUGACAUUGGUUGGAUUAUGAUAGGCUUAGGUUCCACUCUUAUUUCAGAGUUCCGCUCUUAUAUGCGCUAGAGCGUAUCUCUCCUGCUGAGUUUGGUUCUAUUACUUCUAAGCUAUUACUUAUUACUCUUAUUACUUAUAUGGGUUCAACCCAAUAAUCCAUAUUUGAUGAGGUAAUGCAAGGUACAACUAACUGCGAGUCUGAUAGGUGGGAAAGUCAGUCUGUUACUACUAACUGAGAGAAAGGAGUAGAGGCCUAAAGCCCAGAAGUAAGGUUUAGAGAAAGAGGUGUCAGUUUGUAAGUAAAGAGUAGCAGGCUAUGAGUGGGCAGUGAUAGUCUUCUUACUUAAUGGAUUGGAUUAGCUCACUAGUACCGAAGCCUUGUUUGCUGUUUGGGCAAUGUUGGAUUCUAUUGGUUUUAUACGCUAUAUCAUCGUGUGCACCUCUAUUCUUAUUGUUAUGAGUUCUAUUCUUAGUGCAAUUCCUCUAUUGGUUGCUCCAUUCCUUUUUUCAGGGAAAUAGCACAGGGGAUAAAGCAUAUGGGUACGGGAAUCCAGGCUAAGACUUUGUAUGGCUACCUUCAAGCUGUAUCUCUGCUUGCACUCUUCGACUGCUACACACCAAUGCGAAUCAAAACUAAUACUUCCAGGAAUGAGACCUGUGCCCUAACCACUGCAACUUCAAAGAGAGAAUCGAACCCGGCAGUACACGCCCUAUUAUAUGCCCCCGAAGCCUAAAGCCUUAUUACCUAUGUCCAUUUCCGAGCAAUGGAUAAGAGAAGGAGUUAAUUGAACCUAUGGAGCACCGGGUCCAGGUAUAGAACAUAGUAAAUACCCACCAUCCGUUCCCGAGUUCAAUCAGUUCUCUUUAUUCACAAGUCCUGUCUUCGUAGAUGUUUUCAGCGGGAAGGAACGGAAAGUUCACUCGAGAAUAAUAAUCCGCUGGCUAGAUAAGAUGCUUGAUAAAGAGUAGGAGCAGUCAAAAGAUAAGAAACAGAAGAUGGAGCGUACUUGAGUCUAGCGUGAGGGCUGCCUAGCAGAGUUAUUAUUCGGAAAGAUAGAUGUGAAUCAGGAAUUAGGUUCCACUUCUCUUAUUAGUUGUGCGGGAAAUUCCAUUGGGUAGCAAUGCUGUCCGUAUAGUAAGUCUCACUUGGGACCUAACUCAGCCUUGUGUUUCAUGCGCUCCCCUACUAUACAAUAUUGCUCCUCUAAAGGUAUAAAGUAAGGUCUCGCUAACCUUGACCGAGUGGGAAGAAUAGGAAAGCAGCUAGCUGGGUAUGCUCCUGCAGUCGGAAACAGGGUUAGGUUAAGGUGAAAGGAAGGCUAAAGUCCGGGGUGUUGGAAUCAAAGCAAGGGUUGGUAUAGUGUUAUAGCUAGGAGAGAUAUACUGAGAGAAAGUAGAGGCAGAGUCAACCUAUCAAUACAUAAUGAAGUGCUGCAGUGUCAGUUUCAAAGCUUGUAAGGGCAGGCUUCUGGGCAACCGUAGGGAUUUCAAUAACAAGUAAAGGCCUUUAGAGCGGGGAGUCUUAUCUUCGUUUCAGUGCUAAAGAAUGCCGGGUAGUAGUAAAGGGAGUCUGAUCUUCGUUUCAGUGCUAAAGAACGCCAGGUAGUUGUAAAAGAAUAAGAACAAGUAAAGACAGACUUACAGAAGAGAAGGGCAGCUUUAAGGUCAGUAGCUACAUUCUAUUAUUCCCCAGCUCUAUUCUUUCCAGUAGUUAAUUAAGUCUUAUCAGAUAGUAGAAUCAAUUCUCGUUAGUAGAAGUAUCGGUCUUGGUAGCCUCGAUACCAGUAUCAUAGGAAGUACUCGCAUUCCCGUGUUAGAGUUUCAAGUCUCGGAAAGGUACUCGUGUUGGUUUGAAAGCAAAGAGAUAUAGACAUAAAGGAGCAAUACAGAGAGUAUAAGUAAGGAAGGAGAGACUUAGAUGUCAGGGGUUAAGCUGUUCCUAGUCAAUACAAAUAUGAGUUCGUAGUUAGACAGUGUUAUAACCUUUGACCUUAGAGUCGGAUUCCCUGUUCCUGUCUUAAGGUAUUCUAAUACGUAUCCAUAUCCCUUGUUCCAAGUUGAAGUAUUAGCCAUAUCAGAGUAAGCCUGUAUUCCCAUCAUGACUAGAAGGAGGAGUUGGCUCCAGAGUUAGGAGGAGAAGGCGUAUAAGCCAAUAAGGUUAUUAUUGUUAGUUGACUUACAGUUACAAAGUAUCAAUUUCGAAGUGAAGCAUUGUGUUUAUAUUCCUCUUAUAUGGUCGAGUGAGAAAGAAUCGAGUAGCGUUAGAGGAGUUAUUUUCCAAUCAAUUAGCUAUCCAAGUGAAGGUUGGUAACUACACGGAUUGUCCUAUCUUCUUUAACAGGGGGUCGAGGCCCACGUGGGGUUUUUUCGUAUCAAGAAAGAGGGGGCCAAGCAACGACUAGUUUAAUCCCGAGUCGAAUACUAUACAGAAGGUUAAGAUCAUCUCUUUUCCUUUUCAUGCCUACCAGAGCAGGAGUUCAAUUGAUUUCUUGAUUUCUUGAUUUAGAAUAUAUUUCUUGAUUUAUUGAUUUCUGUCUUUCCUUAGUCUUGUUAAGAGCGAUAGGUAACUAACCCAGCUUCUUUAUCGUAGAUCCACCCAGAACUACUACACCUUAUACUAGAUGCGGGGGGGAAACAUAGCGAAACUGCCGCUAGUAAUGAUAAGUGACUUACCGGUGCGGUGUAAUAUGAACUCGAACUGCACUGUGCACUUAUUAUGUUUUAUGGGAAAUGCCCUAGGAAGAGAGAAAACCCGCUUUCAAUUGCUUUUUGCCUAUCAAAUGGGGUAUUCGUUAUCGGAAUAGCGUGUACUCUAAAUUAUUAGUAAGGGUCCUGCUUCUAAGAUACUAAUCAUAAGGGAAGGGUCUUCCACUCCGGAUAUCCCUAGUAAUGAGCUCCUCUUUCUUGCCCACCUCCCCUCUGUAAACUAAUAUUGAUGAAACUUUACCUUGACCUAGAACUAUCACUAGCAUUGGGAAAUUCCCUACUGAAUGAAGUACUUACUUUUGAUGAGCAUUUGGCGUUUUACCGAUCAAAAAAAAAGGCAGUGAGGUGGUUUUAGCUAAUAGAUCGAUCCACUUCUAUGAUGUUUUUUCUAUGCAAUUCAAAACUUCAAUACCAGGAGAUAGUUCAAUACCAGGUUAAUGCCUUUGUAGUAGUGUAUUGUCCCUUGAGUGAAAGGCUUACUAGCGCAUUCAAUGAUUUUAUCGAAGUAGAGAGGUCGGGAAGUAGAGAAUAGUUGCCUGUUGCCUGAGUUAGAUGAGCCCAUAGAUAUAGGAGAAGAAUGAAGUUGGCUCCUGCCCCAAUAAGGAUAGAGUGGACAAAGUAGAGGCCAGGCCAGGUAGCACUUCUCCUGUUCGAGGUAAAGUAUAAAGUGUAGUGGAAAGUCCUGUUUUCGGGAUCAAAAGAUAGGGCAAGAUAUGAAGCAUCAGAAUAAAGGCAAACAGUAGAUGAAAAGUCAGUAGAAAGUAAGCAGUUAGAGCUGUUUCAAGACAAGAGAAGAAGAUCCAUCUUUAAAAGCAGUGCGGGAAGGAACUUCAAGUGUAGCCGAAGCAUAAGCCAUAUCACAGGAUCCGUUCGAGUUUCAUCCUAUAUGUUAUCUUCUAAUAAGAAUGGGAAUUGGAAUGUAGGAUCUCUGCGAAACUUCUCUUAUGGCUAAUGUAGUACUGCUGAAGAAGGCUUAUUUCCAAGUACAGGCAAGAAGUAAGAUGACACUUAUCCAUAUACGAUCUAGUCCAUACGAUCUAGGUGUUGGCGAAAGAAAGGUGGAAUAGACUCGAUGAAGCUGUUUCAACAGAUGAAGCAGCCAGUGGUUCUUUUCUCGUAUAGAUAAGAGAGUAUUUGCUGUACGUAAAUCAGGUUACGGUGAAGCAUCUCUGGACUUUGACUCAGUAGUGUUUGCUGCUUACUUUUUCAGUGUAGUUACUUUAUUCCAUAUAGAGCAAGAGGUUUCAAGUAGGCUUACGUUCAUCUCUGAUAGAAGCUAGAAGCUCCUCGUAAAGUCAACGGGAAAAAGAAAACAGUAAGAUUUGAUAGGGGUGGGUCGGAUGCUCAAACAAAGUCGUUGAAUUGAAUACGAAUUCCAGAGUAAAGCUCCUAACGUGCCUGGUAAUAAGUAUCUUAUAGCCCACUACACUACGCUUGGGAAGAAUAUACUGUGAAGCAGAAGAAGUAAAGCCAUACAGAUCAGAAGCGGUUGCCGAAGCCGAAUCUACUCUUUCAGAAUUGGUUUAAGCUGUAGGAUAAGAAACAGUAUAAAGUGAGUCAUCUACCAGAGAAGCAUCUGAUGCGGGACGGGAAUCGAACUUGUUUCAAAAGUCAGCCGAUUCCUAAAGUGCCCUUCUUGUGUCUAAGCCAUAGAUAGAGGUGAUUGUGUUGAUAAGUGAAUCAGUGUUUUUUAAGUCUACUCGAUAAAAGCAAGAUAAGUUUUCUAAGAAGUCAAGUAUCUCGGUGUUGUUUUGUUGACUCUCAAUCAGAAAGCCUAAAACUAUCAAUCAGGUCAAUCAAGUGUUCCCGCCUAAGAUCCGGAUAGCGAUCUUGACUCACCUGUGCCAACUCUAUUUGCUCUAUCUGCGCCAACUCUAUUUGUUCUAUAAGUAAGAUUUCACUGUUCAAAGAAAGUCACCUAUCUUAUUAAAGAAAUGAAAUAUCUCCUAUAUAAAUGACAUAGCUACUAUCUUAUUAAAGAAAUGAAAUAUAUUAUAAUACAAGCUACUACCGAAAGAAGCGCAAGCAUCUGAACCAACUCGACUGGAACCACAUCCCGCUACACCUGUAUUAGAUUCUUUCUCGCCCGACCCCCCUACACUUAUUUCAAUGAAAACUUAGGAGACUAGACUACCCAAAGAAACUAUACUACCGCUGGAAGAUACCUCGCGGAAGAAGGCUAUUCUCUAAGUAUGUAAGGGAAGGCUUGCACGCCUGUGUCGUAUAAAACCUAUGUUCAACCUACCACUGGAAGAUACCUCGCUUAAGAAGGCGGAUUUCCCAGUAAAGCUGAAGAAGGCAAUAGUCCAAGUAGAAACAAGAAAGCGGAUUGAGAGUCGACAACACCACUGUUUGUUGCUUCAUAUGGGCGGCAUCUGAUCCUAGAACGGAUCUUGAUCCUUAUUUGGCUUCAAAUACGGUUCCCCUUCUCCCGCUUAUGAACUUGUCGCCUUUAUUGGACUUGCUUCUGAACACUAUGGUUCCUUUCCACUUGAUACUUGCAAUAUAGUAGUAAGGGAGCAGCGAUAUACUCCUAUCUUUCUACCUUACACCGGCUAAAGAACCUUGAUACUGCUAUCGCCACAAUUCAGAAGUCUGGGCCAGUGUCAACUAAUACUACUACGCGUGAGAGGAGAAGGUCAACGAGCUUGACAAGCGGGUAAUACAAGAAAGGGCAAAAGCUACGGACUCAAUGGAGCUCCUGUCAGAACAACUUCCGCUGUUGAACAAACACAGAGCAUUGCUUAUUGCCCGGCGAAAGAGAAGUAAGCUAAUGUAUCGUUACUUGAGCUGACUCCUAACUUGUUGUGAACUCAGUCAGAUCUAUCAUAUUACCUAAUUUGAUACUAUACUCUUUUCUUGAAACCUAACUCAUAUUACUCGAAACUUGAAUCUAUCAGCAGGGCACCAUACCUACCCCUUGAAACUCCAAUACCAAUUAGUGCCCCAGAACCUUAGCAGCUUUGGUUUCCGAACCUGACACUAUAAACUCACUUAUUGAAACCUGACACUAUAAACUCACUUAUUGAAUUGAACUGAGUGCACAACACUAGUGGGUUCAGCAGUGAAGUUUAGGCCUAGUAGAAAGUAUGAAAACGAAAUGCACCUUAUGUGAUAUCUAAUUAAGUAACAACGCUCCUUACUCAAAGCUACAAAACGACUAACCCCCUUCCUUCAGCCUUAAAAGGAGUACUGGCAGGAAGAGAGUGUACCUGGGUAAGAUUAACGGCUCAAAUCAUUAGAAGGACAGAACAAGCAACCAUAACUCCGGCACGUUUAAGUAGCUCAGCUCCCAAACACCAUUUCGAACUAAGUGAACUUUAGCGGGGGCGCUUAGGAUAGUUUCAGAUUCUUUUCUUCAUGGUUGACUUCACCUAGUCCCUAACUCCAAUUCUCUGUAUCAUUGCGAUUCCAAGUAUCAAGUAAGGUUGAAAGAGGCAUUUUGUUCUAAAGAGUCCCCCAUACCACUAUAUUACCAUUCUAUGGAGGAAUCUCCCCAUAUUAUAUUCUAAGGAGUAAGGGCGGAAGCCAUGGAGUCAAUUCUCUUCCUUUUGAAAAAGGCAGUGUUUCAAAGUGAGUUUUGAAGCAAAGCAGUGAGUUGUUGUUUAAUCUCUUCUAUCGUAUAUGCACUCCAUGAAUCAAUGAAGAAAUUGAAGUUCUUUUCCUGUCUUUAUCGGCUAACGCUUAUUCUUGUUUAGAGCACAAGAAGCAAGUGGUGGAGUUAACUACAAAAUUCUAUAAUAUGCUCGCUAGAUUCAAAUAGAAUAUGCUCGAUAGAUUCAAAUAGAAUAUGCUCGCUAGAUUCCAUUAGAAUAUGCUCGAUAGAUUCCAUUAAGUGAACAAGCACCGGGCCAAACAACUAGACAAGUAACGACUACUGAAAUUAUGACUUGCUGAAUUCAUAACUAUAGCUCAUCUAACUCUUUGCAACUAAAACUCCAUCUCAUCCCUCUCUGGCUCUUGGAACUCUGGCUCCCUUUAGCCACGAGGAAAGGACACUGUAGCUUGCACUUAUUAACGCUGCUUGGCUGAAUUGAUUGAACUCUGUUAGCGCAACACGUCGAACUCACUUUAGCUCUAUAGUCUGGAGCUGACUAACGCUAUAGUCACUAACGCCAUAGUCAGGAACUCUACCCUUGCUUUAAACAUAAUAAAUGGAGAUUAUUUCCUCAGCGGAAACGGACCCCCCUGAUUGAUUUCCAGCUUCGUCUUCGGCUAAAGAUCCUGUUCCUUACUAUCCACUUGAAGAUUACUUGCGCACUGUUGAUUCUUCUGCAACUGUUUCAAAAUACCGCUCUGCUCCUGAUUCUAUACGAGACUAAAUGGAAACGACUCUAUCGUAGCCAAACACUUGAACAGCAUCUUGGUUUGUUGGCGCAAGUGCAAGAUCAGAAACAGAAUCUAGGACUGGCUUUGAAAGGUAAUAACAACCUUGUAGUGCUCCCGCUUUGGGGUAAUAAUCAAGUUCGGUUUGGUGCUUGGCUUUACGUCGGUAGAGAGAAUUCCGUUAUUGGCUUUCCCUUUGCUUUGCGUGGAUAAUGUCCUUACCUGGAAAGCCCUUGCGCUAACACUUAUUUGAGUUGCGGGAUGCGGGGUGCGAGCGAGUUUCAUCGUAUCAAUUGUGUGCUAGUUUCAUCCUAUAAAGAGGAUCAUCUCUUUGUGAACGAAUACCCAAUACACGCUUAAGCAGUGCGAAGAAAGUCGACGAUAGAAUAAUUAGUAUUAGAGAAAGAUCAUAAGCGGGAUAAGUUCGAAAGGCAGCUACAAGUAGUUCUUUUGUAGAAAGGGGAAGUAAGUAUAAACUGUUUCAAGUAAGUAAGCUAAAGAAUUGCCAGUUCGACUUGCCUUGCAUCCGUUCUUGUUGAAGAAAAGGUCGAGGUCGGCAAAAGAAGUAGCUUGAGUAUCGAGAAUCCGCUGUAGGGCGAGGAAAUGAAAAAGGGGCAGAACUCACAGAAGCUUACUUGAGCGAAGCGGGGUUAGGAUUAGGUUAUCUAAAUCACUGAAGGAAGAGUUUGUUGUGCAAUGAAAGCAGUCAGCAUAAGAGGGAUUAGAUGCUGGUAAGGAAGCAUAAGAAUCAGAGGGCCAAGUAACUGCAACAAGCAACAGAGAAAGAGAGUGAUUGGUUAAGGCAACGGAACAAGCAAGCACAAUAACUCCACGAAACGACUUUGACAUAGAAUUAGGAAUAGAAAAUAGUGCGCGGUGAACUGAACGCGUAGACAAACAAGGAUUGUCCCCCCGCUUACCGAAACAAACAAGCUUUGUAUAUUGUAUAGCUCAAAGUAACGGUGUUUUUUAAAAACAUUAGAUAAUGUGUUUAAACCUCGCGUAAGGCAGUUGUCUGGAGCAAGUACUGUGAGUUUUCGUAUCGGCGUUAUCGAGUUCCACUGGUUGCAUCUUAUUAAUGUACACAGAUUCUGGCAGAGGGUUAGUCAUCAAUCAAUAGGGAGCUUGCUUACUCAAUCAUUGAUUCUACGAGUCUCUUAUAGCAUCUACUAAAUUCUACGAGUCUCUUAUAAGCAUCUACUCAAUAAGGCAUAGAUUCUCAUAUUCUAUGAGUCUCUUAUAUCCCUAUUGAAAACUAUCUUAUUACUGUACUGUCUGUACCACCAAUCUUAUUACUGUACUGUUUGUACCACAUUAUGUCACUUAUUAACUCUAGUAACUCACUUCUAUAUGUUAGCUUGUUCUGUGCCGAUUGUAACUCACUUCUAUAUGUAAGCUUGUUCUGUGCCGAUAUUAGAUUGCAAAUGUGUUUGUGGCUUCUGAAGAAAGUGGAGUUUUCGGAUAGCCCACGUAGCCGUGCUUGUGUUGUCAUAGAGUUCCAUUCUUGGCUUUACCCUUGUUGUCCUAUCGUAUAAGGAGGAAGAAUGCUUAGCCCACUUCACUAGAAAUGCUGUUAAGUCGAGGGGCACAGUCUCAAAAGAAGGAAACGAGAAAUGCGGUUAAGGCGAAGGUCAAAAAAAGGGAUACUCUAUAAAUGAAGUUCUGUUAAGGCGAAGGGAACUGUAUCAAAGGAGAAAUCAGAAUAACAAAAAAAAACCAAGUAUACGAUGCUUAAGAAAAAAGAAGAAAGAAUAUGAAAAACCCAGUAUACAUACGAGGCUUAAGAAAAUAGGAAAAAGAAACAGUGAGCUCCCGACGAAGAAACCGUAGAAAGAUCAUUAGCUGAAGAUAGAUCCGUGUUGGCGCCGAGAGAAUCCGCAGUCUAAGCUGAAAGGAGGGCGCUUGUCAGGUCAGAGCGAGCAGAGGUCAGAUUCAUAAGAGAGAUAUUCCAAUUAAGAACUUCUAAAGUCGACGAGAAUGGACUUUGCCUUAUAGUUGGUUUGUGCUUCUUCAGCGCAGGUUUAGUCUCCAGUAAGUAUACUUUCGAUUUCGAAAGGAAGUAAGGGUGCCGACAUCAAUCAAAUAUUCAAACAGUGAGAUUUAGAAGCAAAGCAGUAAGUAAGUAAGGAAAGAGUAAGGAGUGAGUGAAAAAGUAUACUAUUUUCGUCUAGGAAAGUUGUACUUAGAAGCAGUUCGAAAGCCAAGUGAAGGUCGAGGAAGAAGAAAUUCCAUGCUUUGAAGCGCGUUCGGUUAUUAUUGAGCCCAGUAUCUGCCCUUCAACAAGUAAAGUAGUAGAGUAGUCCAAAGGUUGACUUCACCCGUAAGCUCUAAGUAUUAUAUAAAGUAGAAAGUAUAAGGUAUCAAUCAAGCUAGAAUAGAAGCCCUAUUGCUUGCUCAUUUGCCGUUGCUAGCGUGACUGCAUUUUCUAUUCCUUUGGAACUUGGCUUGCUCCUGUAGCUCUACACUCUAAGUAGUAAAGUGGAGUUCUUGUGCUUAGAAAGUCAGAUGUUUCUGUUUGCCCAGUUCUACUUAUAUCGGUAUUAAGAAGAAGACUCCGGAGCUGGAGUGAGAAAUGCAUUCUUGGUUGACUUUACGGAAGACUGCCCAGGCCCACAACAAGACUCAGUUGAGUUGGUAAGCAGCUUUCUUACAUUCCUUAAUGAUAGGCGGGUGGGAUAGAUUCAAUUACAUACUUUUCAGCAAGGGAAUCCAGAUAGGAAGCCAGGGAAUAAAGAUCUUCAUCUUCUUUAUAGGAAUAGGAGUCAACUCUCACAGUCAAUUCCGCUGCUGCGGAUUCUCUUUCCACUUAUAUUGAUUAUUCCUAGACACUAACUCGUAUACCCUGAACAUAAAGUAAGCCUUAUUGCCCUGAUUUUAUAGCCCAACUCUCAAUAAAGAAGAGCUGUAAACCCAUCUUGUUUGUCAGAAAUAAGAAAAUAGGGCUCGGCUCCUCUUGCCCCAGCAAUGAAGUUCCUUCCGUUUCCAUUCACUGGGAGAAAUAGAAAGAAAGGAUCGAAUUCCUUUUAAGAGUGGAUGAAGUAUGGAACAUCAAUCCAACCUGCAACUAAGUAUUCCAUAGCCCUAUAAGCAGAAGAGGGCUCCAGGCCCCCAACCAUUUACAAAAGUGAAAGAGCCUUACAAAUUCAGUCUGGCUUCAAUAAAACCAUAUAUGAACGAUUAAUAAUUGAACGAGGUAGCCCAGUUUGCCAAUCCAGUUUCCCUAAGGCAUAUGAAGUAAAGACUAUACUAGAAAGCUACAGCAAGGGCCCGAAGUCUCGGUUACCAGAAACCCGUCCCCAUCAAACCCGUAUUGCCCCCACCACUAAACAACCUUUAAGGGGCUUGGCUUAUUCCAUCCAAUCAGUCAAGUUCCAGUAUUGUUCUGCUAGAUUGAAGAAACCUUUUCCUUUAUGUCUUUGCUCAUUGAGUCUCAUUUAGUCAUUUUGGAGAUAGAUAAAGCAGAAAGCUGCGCCCAAAGGUGACCAACUGACAAGGGCGUUGAUAGGUGACUGAUUGAACCAACGGAGCUGUACUUUUCAUUAUGCACUUUUUAGGGCGUGAGCGGCAUUGUCAUUCGCUUUAGUCUGAGGAAGAAGUGCGAUGUAUUUGAUAUAGGAUCUUCUAAUCCGCCCUGACUCUUUGACGGAGUAGGGGGGAAAGGAAAGCAACGAGUAAUUGUAUUUCAUCUAACUAAGAAAAAACCCUCCAAAUGAUGUCUAUAGGCUGACCCGAUUAGUCCUCAAAUGUUCCUCCUUAAGUCGACCUAUGCUUGAAAUACUUACCCUGACCCAGCCACAACGCUCUAGCUUCGGACGAUCCUUCUGAAUAUCUCUAGUCAAAACUCACCAUUCUUGUCUCUAGUCAAAACCACUCACGAAGCUCUUUUAAGUAUAGAGUCCGGAAGGUUUGGGAAAACUGGUUCCAAAUGAAUAGGAAGACUCUGACAUCAGUGGUUAUUGCUUAAUGUUACCAGGCAAGGAACUAGACAAGCAGACAAGCUUACUUAGAGUCUACCCGAGUCUACCCGAGUCUACCGAGUCUACCCGAGUCCACACGAGUCCACCGAGUCUAAGUAAUAUAGGAAUCCUUCUUUUGGGCUCCUGCUAACGCAAAGUAAUCAUUUCACGACUAUACCUCUAUUUCGAAUUACCCUUUACCGAUCUAAACAGUCUUCAUCUUCUGAAUGAAUUGCAUCUUUAGAUUCGGCUUUUCUUGGGGGGAACUCAACGGAGUAUAUAGUCACAGUAAUAACCGCCAAGUAACUACAACAAAAACAGAGAGCCAAGCAGACGAGCAACUACAACAAAAGCAUAGAGCCAAGCUUAGUAUAAUAAAGGCGCAACUACGUUAUCUUACCCCAUCUCUCUACGAUCUCGCAACAAAGAAUGAAUUGAAACAAUCCCUUCCCUAAGCACCGAGUAAAGUCAAACAGGAAAACAUUAAUGGAAAUAUGUAAGUCACUGAUUCUAUAUAAAAGGGGAAUACACCUAGAAACUCCCUUACCGUCAACAACAUCAGGAUCCGGGGGUUCACAGGUAAGAAGAAAUUCCAUGCUUUGAAGCUAAUACUGUUCGCUAGUUUGUAGUAGCAAAACAAGCGACUACUAAAGGGAAUAGUUCGGUGUCCUACAGGGAAGAGUGCGGUCGGUGCCCUAUAAAUAGAACAGGAAAAGAGUUUCCUCAGUAACAAUUCCAUUCCAUUUAUUCUUAAGAGAGUUUAUUCAGCGCCAAUUCUAUUCUUUCUUGGAUGCGAGGUUCCCUAAAACAUACUUUUUGCCCAAUGAUUCAUUUAGAAAGAUUCUCUUACGUAGCUCCGGAACUAAUUCUGCAUCUAGAUCCAGGCCACGGCAACUGAGCUAGGGGUGGGUAUCGUGCAACAACAAGAAGGGUGCGCAGGGGAACUAAUUCAGAAAAGUCACAUAGAUAGCUCACAUUAUUUAGUUUAAGUAAAAGCAUUCAGUCUUCGAUAGCAUCGCACAGUCUAUGAACUACUAUGAACUCAGUCAUCGUACAUCCUUAGCUUCGGGGGACAGUAAAGGGUGGACAGAAAACUCAUUCUUUGUAUAUGGUAGGGUAACUCCGUCUUUGAAAUAAGUCUUUGAAACCAAAAAGCAAAGCACGGUAGGGUGGCUAAAGCACGGUAGCAUUAAUUCUUCAAGUGAUCCCCAGCUCAUUAUCUUUUCUAUUCAAUAAGUAACACAGCUCAUUAUCUUUUCGAUUCUAUAAGUAACACAGCUCAUUCUAUUUUAUUGACACAUCAGAUUGACUAUCCAACCAAGUCUUCCCUGUGGCUCGUUCAGCUCACCCACGACCCUAUGUUGAUUAAUCUCUUUAAGCCAAGCCCCUUUUCCAAAUAAAACCAUCUUCACAAUCAUCGAUUGCUCCCUCAUCCAUGGUAACUGCUAGCACCUCUAACCAAGACCACUAUUUCCUACUACUCUAACCAAGACCACUAUUUCCUACUAUAAUAAACCUCACGGAUCCCACUCAAUCUUUUACACCGAUGUUUCGUACUCUCUGGACCAGGUCAUCAUAAGAGGAGAAUACUGCGAAAUCUUUCCUAAGUAAGUAAAGUAAGUAAGUAAGAGAAGGAGGGAAGGCGCACGCUACAACAAACAGCCUGCUGAAAAAAGACAAGAAAAAAGCAACGAAACGAAUAAUAAUAGCUUUGUUAGGAGUGAAACGCGUUAGCACUUACUCUCCCCCGCUUGCUGCUUUCUUUUCUUAUCGCUGUGUUUCAAAAAUGAGAUGACAGGUAACCUUAGGCAAGAGUCGUGACCAUGCUGGUUUUGUUAGGCUUGUUGUACAUUGUCAGAAAAGAGAGUUGGUUUAGGUACAUCGUUGAUUAGUAAACCUUAGGUGCUCUGGUAAGGUCUGGACCGUGGUCGUGCGUCUCAGGUUUGCCGGCCGAUAAGAUCACUUCAAUUGACCAGCCAGCUGUGUUGGUUUGGCUAUUACUUGCUAUUUCAAAGUAGUCAGCUGUCUGCGCGAGUCACCUUCCUUCUUCUAGGCUCCGAGUCACCUUCUUCUAAGCUCCGCUGGACGACACGGCAUUCUCGUUCUAUAGGCCGGCCGUACUUGUGAUGGUUCCCCAGGAUCCAAUAAACUUAGGUCUACGUUGCCACGAUAUUGUUCUAUGGAAGCGGGCGGGCAGCUCUUUGGAUAAGUUCGGCCCGGUAUUGCAUUCUUGAUUAAUAACAUGGGCAUUGAUCUUUCUCACGCAUAUUCUGUCGUACCGGCAUGGCCCCAAGGAUUUGUUUUCGAUCGGAGCAUCAAGCAGCGCAACCCGGUUCUACUUGACUAAGCCCAGUGCUCUUCCAAGGAGGGAGUUUGCUUGACCCAACUCCCCAAUUUGGAACAAGGCAUAAACCUCUUACCCUAAAUUCAUGAGUUUAGAAUGAAGAGUUCCCCCAUUCUUUUGGAAUCCCGAAAUCUGGGAUUUGGAAGUUGGUAAAGACCCACCCCUUGUUGAAGUCAGAAUGAGUCCCCUGGACAUUGGCUUCCACCAACAGUGAACUACUAAGGAUCGCAUCCCGCGCAUAUUCUACAUUAUAGCCUGCAACUGAUUCAGCUUCCGCUUCUGGGAGAUCAAACGGAGCUCGAUUCGUUUCUGCUAGACGAGGAAUAAGGAACAUAACCAAUACGGGGAACAAGGGAAUACCAGACCAUAUCUGCUUUUGCGCCAUGACAAUCUCACUCGAAUUACAGGGACCUACACAUAUUAGUACAGUAUACCGGGGUCCCCGGCCAGAACCACACGUGCAAGUUUCCCUGCAUGUGGCUCGUUCGUUCUUUUUUAUCCGAAGCAAAGCCUGUUACUCUGCAUGGGAGAAGAGUGCGGAACUGCUUUCGUGUUCAAGAGCAUGGAAUUGUCUUAGUUAGUAGAUAGAUUAGAACUCCAUAAUAUGCGCACCGAGAACGAGAAUAGAUAGAGAUGUUAGCUAGCAGGGGCCUUUGGUAGUCCCGGUCUCUGGCCGGCCUCUGACAGUCCAUCCCGUCUAAUCAUUCUUUGGCUAUAUUAGUUGCAAGUAAUGUUAGCUCUACAUUAAACUAUUUGUCGAUUGUUGACUAAACCGGAACUCAUCAGUAACCCCCGAUUUCCUAUUCUGCUUUGCUUGACGCCUACAUUAAGAGAAUAGGUCCCUAGGCCUUCCUUUAAUCAUCUAUACUAGACUCUCCCAAUAGGAACGAACUAUUUAUGCGCCCUAAGAAGCGGAACGCGCCAUCACCUACUGCCCUUUCCUCUGCCGGGGACUUCUAGAAAAGAAAACGGGCGGCAUGGUCGUAUGUUCGACAUGAGUUGCCCUGGUGUAUAUCCCGGAGUACUCCUAUGGCCGAUCUGUCACCCAGCAAACUACAGCAUCUUGGAAAAACGUCUUUCUUAGCCGAAUAGUUUAGGUAAUGAAAUACUAAGCAUCAAAGAAAUACAGCAAGGCGAAACGAAACUACUGCAUCAAAGAAGAACAUAAGCUAUGAAAAGCCCCCCUAUAUACCUAGAAUUGUUAAGAUGCUUGGCCCCGUCCCGUGUGGCUCCUUACGGCACGUUAGUGAUUAUCGCUUAGUGGCGUUGACAUAAUGAGAAAGCCGCGACUUAUCGCAUGGUUCUUGCCUCCCUCCUUGGAGCUCGUCUAUUCCUUGCUUGGGUGAUCCCUUGCUCUCACGUUCGAGUGUUUGCUCAUCGUUUAGGCCGGUUAGUUCCAUUUCUGCUCAUUGCAGUUGCCUCCGGGGUUCUUCGCACCUGGGUAGUACCAGGACCCUUGUGCCCCAGCUAACUUAUCCAAAGAGCUGCCUAUGUAUGACCCAAAACGAAAAGAAGCCUUGCGACGAGACGCGGACAUUCCUCAUGCUGCGGUUCCCUCCGGUCCGUUCCCGGGUUGGGUUAGGGGAAGAUCCGAGCGCUUCGCGGAUCCAAACGUGCUCACAAGGCGCAUAAUAAGAAUCAGACCAAUAGAGACUUCAUAAGGGACCAUUUGAGCUGCAGAUCGUAAUGCUCCUAGAAAGGCAUAUUUCGAAUAUAGAGGAAGUUCCCAACAAUGCCACAAAGAAAAGAGAAUGAGAAAACUAUGAACCGUACGAGCACGUCCUCUCUCACCCCACCGCGCUUACGGCUCUAUACCCCAACUAGCUCUGGCCCCGGGUCCUCCCGCAUCUCUUCCUAGGUAAGUAGACCGUGGAAGCUGGGGUGUAUCCGCUUGCGACAGAUAGAAAGCUGCAAGCAUAUCCAUGGUUGAUACCUAAAGCCUAUAUAAAAGAAGCUCUGCCUAACAAAUAAGUUGAUACCUAAAGCCUAUAUAAAAGAAGCUCUGCCUAACAAAUCCAAAUAGUGGACGCGUCAGAGACAUCUUUAUCAGAAGAGGAGGCUUCGUCCUCCGGCUACUCAUAAAUGAUUAUAGGAUCGGCCGGCUCAUCCUCGGAAUCCAACAAAGAUGGAAGAGAAAGAGAAAUAACAUAUUAGGUGAAAUUACAUAGCGAAUCAGACAGAAUAGGAUGUAGAAGAAAGAAGAAUCAAGAGAAAGAAGGUAAUGGAAUGGGCUAGGAAGAGAAAGAAGGUAUUGGAAUGGGCUAGGAAGCUACCGUUUAACGAAAAGCAAUGCUACAAGCAAGGUAGCGACUCUCUGUCUAGCGUGUGGGGGGGGCAUUGGAAAGACUAGACCAUACUCAUUAGUACAAUAGGCAUUCGGGAAGCGCCUAGUCGUUUAUUUCUGACGAAGCUUAACGAAGGCCGACUACUUACUACAUAGAGACAACUACCAGUCAUGAGCGAUAGUGAAGCCUAGAGAGUAGGAAACAGUCGCUUGACGGACGCGAUAGGCGGGCGAAGUGAGCGAUACCAAGCCGAGCCACUAGUUUAUUGGGUGCCUACAUUACAUAUAUGGAAGAAGUCAUAGGUUAAACACAUCGAACGAAACAAAACGGAAAGUGAACUAUUGAACAGUGUGAUUGAUAAGAACAGUACUAGCUCAUCACUCGCCUAGCAACUGUAGUAGUAGCUUGGCCGGGGAUCUUCUUUCAUUGAAUAAUUCGCUUGCGAGAAGUCCUAGCAUUAGUAUGAGUUCGUUGACCGCGUAAGGGCGAUCCAUCUUGAUGACGAAUUCCACGAUAACGAGAAAUAGAAAUUAAUCGUUUGAUGUCUGCUCGUUCUCCCCUCUUCAAUUCCCAAUUCACAACAUGAUCUUGACUUAUCAUUUGUUCCAUUUGGUCGAUCUGAUACUUAGUUAACUCCUGAAUCUUGAUGUUCCCACUGAUACCUAAUCGAUAACGAAACUUCAUGGCUUUUUGAGGUCCAAUUCCAUCCAUUUUGGUUGAGGCUAUUCUGACUUGUUCAUCGGGAACUGAUAUAGCUCCAUUAUUAUCUGACAUUAUUAAUCCUUAUACCUUUUCCUGGUCUUCUCGGCUGGAAUCUACAAGGGGUCUCCAUCCCUCCACUCACGAACAAAGCUAGCCAUUUCUCUUGACUAGAGAAAGAUCAUAGCAGAGAUUACCCAUACCCGAAAGAGCAUAGCAGAGAUUACCCAUACAUACCCUAUAAGUAAGAGACUAUAUUAUUACCCAUACAUACCCUAUAAGUAAGAGACUAUAUGCGCUUUCAAGUACUCCAACAUAGAGAGAGCUAUUUCUUUGAUUCUUCUAUUGAUCUCAGAAAAGAUUGGAAAGUGUCCCUAUACUUAUGUAUAGGCGAGAAGGAGCCCAGCCCGCCUUUCUCUUACUAUAUCUGUGAAAAGAGAAUAGGUAGUUUCAGAAAGAAUCAUUUCAAUCAAAUUGAUAGUCAGAGGAAUAUUCGAAAAUCCUGAGGGGAAGAACGUAGAUUCAUUCCAUUCUCUCACACACUAUCGCUAUUCUCCUCUCCAUUCUCUCACUCACUAUCGCUAUUCUCCUAUAAGAAAGACACUGUUGCAGCAAUCGGUUGAAGCAUUAGUUCCCGGUUAGUGGGUGCUGGGGACAGACUUGACGUAACAACUCCAUGGGGGCCGCCAUGCCUUUAGAUCGAUACACUGUUUAGGAGGCCAGGCCGAUCACGAACGCUACUGGUGUGGGCUGCUAUCAGAGAUGAUUCAAGAAAGCCAACAAGAAUAGGGCCAAGCUAACCUUAGCAACUACUACCCCGCCUAGCCUAGGUAAGAUGCGGCAAGGUAACACUUCCCGGUGCUCUUUCCUCUUUAUUACUUCCUAUACACUAGGGUAGGGGAGAAGCGUGUUUUAAACAGCUAUUGGCCAAGCGACUACUAACGUUGAGAUAAAGAUAAGAAGCGGGGGGUUAAGGUGAAAUAAGCUAUAGAAGGAAAGCACUGACUUGACUCGGCAUAAGAAAGAUUAUGUGGCGCCAGGAAAAGUUGUGGAAUUCUUUGUCCAGUGUACUAGAGUUAUUACUGAGUCCUGUGAAUAGGCUUUGAUGCGCUAAGACUAAGGCUUACUCUUGUUGUUGCAAGUGGGAAAGUCAAAGAAGUACGGGCAUAAAUCGAAUCAGAGGCUUGAGCUAGCCUAAUAUGAGAAUGGAAAGUGGAUCUAUUGCAGAAGAAUCAUUCUUGUUACCCGCAUAGGAAAGUACUCAACUAGAUUCUUGUACCCCGCCUAGGUAUUAUAGAAAGAAAUAACCAAGGAAAAGAGGUAGGUUAGGAGUUUCGCCCAAGGUUGUCUUAGAGAAUCUCAAAGAGUGCGUGCGAGUGUAGUUCCGGCGGAGUAAUACGCUCGAACACAAGACAUAGGCUUUCUCUUUAUAUAGGAUGAGAGUACUUCACUACGGAUGGAAGGAACCUAUUUUGACCUGAUCCAUCCUCGGCUUAACCCUAUUAUUUCUCUAUUGGGGCACUAAGGAACAAAGAAAGUCGUUUGACUCAUUAUGUUAGGUAGUACCCUUCACUUCACUGCCUAUUCCUAACCUGGCCAGCUCGCUCACUAACGCAGUAAACAGGACUUUCACUUGUGCCAAGUUAACCAUGAAAUUCAUCUAUCGAGCGGUCAACUCUACCACUUAUUGCUCGAACUGCGGAUUCCGUCUAAUAACUCAUAGGCGCAUCCCUCACUCCACUACUUUGAGCUACAGCGGGACUAGACACACUAUAAACUAGGUGGGCGAAAGGGGAGCGAAAUUCUUCUUUCUAUGCGCUCUAUUCCGUCGCUUUUGAUUCCUUCUCCUUCUCUGUUUUUAGUUGCACUAGGGUUGGAUACCAAUAUCUAUCAGUUGGUUACCCAUAUAUAUCUAUGAGACCCCUCCCCUCUCUCUCUUGCUCUAGUUUUGUGUUCUACUAGAUGCGCUAGCAAGUUCUGUAUUCUGGCCCUAUUCUAAUACCCUAUUUCUUGUCUUAUACUUAUACUUACUAUUCUAUUACUUACUAUUACUAUUCUUAUUCUUAUACUAUCUUGUCUUAUUCUUAUUCUUAUACUAUCUUGUCUUAUGGCUCCUCAAUACUCCAUCGAAUAAACUUCCAGUUAUCCUCUUUCUUGCUCCGAUUACCUAUAAGAAUUCUAUAUCUAAUAUUCAACGAGAUCCAUUUCUCUUUCUGGGGCUUCUGAUCGAACUGUGGAACUGGCAAUUCUCCAAGUGACAAUAGGGGUGGAAGGAUUACUCGACGUGUUACCGACCCCGAACAAGACUUAGAGCGUAAGCACCAACACUCCCCACUUAUUGUUAUUGUCCCGCCUUCUAAUGACCAUAAUAGCCUAAUUGAUCUUUCUGUUCGAGUGUUAUCGAGUGAGCAGACUCCUAAAGAAGGAAGAGAGUUGAGUGCAAAAGAAGAGAGCCGAAUUGCUUUCAGAAUUGAGGAAGCAAAGAAAUUGGAAUUCCACGUACAAAAGCAUAGAGUUUGACAAUGAUAUGAGUUUGUUUUAAAGGACAGUUACCAAGUAGAGUAUCAAUUCUAUUACAUUAGCAAUUAGCAUAGUUAUAGGUCUUUAGACGCAAGACAGUUACAAAGUAUCAAUUAAGUGACAUUAGCUACGUUGAACAGAGACAUAUAGCUUAAUAGAAAUCGGAGUUAGCGAGUGAUAGUAUAGAAACGAAUAAAGAUGGUUAUGAUUCUGUUGUUUCUUAUAAUAAACAGUAGAACAAGCAGGGCGAGGAAGCAAUAAGUAAAGAAGUAAAGGAUCGGAUCGGGAGUUGGCGCUGAGAGAUGAGGUCUUGCAGUUCUAUUCCAUCAUAAGAGUCAGAGGUUUUAUACAAGAAACCAUUCUGUAUCUGUUCGAAAGGAAAGGUUCGAGUGCUGGUGUCAGUGGCGUAGGAGAGUGGCUUAGGACAGUAAUAAGCAGUUCCUGGUUUCGGUAGUGAUUGUGUCGUAGGUGCUAUAGCUCCGAGUUCUACUUGUUUGCGCUAACGGAAAGGGAGGGUAAAGGAGUUGUUGACAGUACGGUGUCAGUUCCAUUUCUUUAUGCUUGCUUCUGCGAGAGAUAAUAGUCAAAUUCCAAUUCUCAUCUUUUUCUACUCUCCUUGUUAUCUGAGAUCCAAUCUUAUAUGCCUCGCAAUAGAGUCAAAUUAUGAAGUGGAAAGUCAAGCUAUUAAAGAAAAGGUGGAAGUAACAAGUGAGUAAGCUGCUAUGUAUGAAAGUAGAGGUCGAGGAAGAAUAAUAAAGGGAUAUGGAAGCUAUGUAUUUAUAGAAUUCUAUACAACCACAACCCAACCACCUUGGGAAUCUGAAUCUUAUCUUUAUCACGGUCAUCUUGCCCCUAGAAAGGCUGUUCCUGUUCCACGGUAGCCUGCCUAUGAACAUUGACCCGUUACUAAUACAAAUAUAGCAGAAGAAUCCGCGGAAGUAGAUGAAAAGUCUUGAUCCGUUUUCAAGAGAAAACCAGUUAUAGUUCCAGGAUCAUCAGCUAUGGGCUAACGGGAAGAAGGAUCUGCAGUUGGGGAGAAGAAGAAAGAGAAUCUUCAACUGAAUAAAGAUCAUUGGUGAAACAAAAGUAAGGGUAUCAAGUAAGGGUAUCUCGGAACAGGCGCAAGAGAGAGAAAUGAUUGUUUUCCUUAAGACUCCACUUUUACUGAAGAUCACAACAGUUUUGACCUUAUUGACCUUGAUUGUAGUGCUCUUGGCUAGGCUCCUUAUUGUUUCGGGAGUUAUGCAACGGCGCGCCUGUAUAAAGUCUUCUGCUACUUAAACGUGUUGUUACU
rnacentral:lncRNA from 1 species